rnacentral:rRNA from 1 species
CCUACGGGAGGCAGCAGUGGGGAAUUUUGGACAAUGGGCGCAAGCCUGAUCCAGCCAUGCCGCGUGUGGGAAGAAGGCCUUCGGGUUGUAAACCACUUUUGUCAGGGAAGAAACGGUCUGAACUAAUACUUUGGACUAAUGACGGUACCUGAAGAAUAAGCACCGGCUAACUACGUGCCAGCAGCCGCGGUAAUACGUAGGGUGCAAGCGUUAAUCGGAAUUACUGGGCGUAAAGCGUGCGCAGGCGGCUUUGCAAGACAGAUGUGAAAUCCCCGGGCUCAACCUGGGAACUGCAUUUGUGACUGCAUGGCUAGAGUACGGUAGAGGGGGAUGGAAUUCCGCGUGUAGCAGUGAAAUGCGUAGAUAUGCGGAGGAACACCGAUGGCGAAGGCAAUCCCCUGGACCUGUACUGACGCUCAUGCACGAAAGCGUGGGGAGCAAACAGGAUUAGAUACCCUGGUAGUCCACGCCCUAAACGAUGUCAACUGGUUGUUGGGAGGGUUUCUUCUCAGUAACGAAGCUAACGCGUGAAGUUGACCGCCUGGGGGAGGUACGGUCCGGCGAGUUAGAACGUACGAAGUUAGAGUUGCGGCGNGAGAGNGCCGACGGACGACGACGAGGGAGGAGG